GACGAACGCUGGCGGCGUGCUUAACACAUGCAAGUCGAACGGAAAGGCCCUGCUUUUGUGGGGUGCUCGAGUGGCGAACGGGUGAGUAACACGUAAGUAACCUGCCCUUGACCUUGGGAUAACUUCAGGAAACUGGGGCUAAUACCGGAUAGGAGCUCCUGCUGCAUGGUGGGGGUUGGAAAGUUUCGGCGGUUGGGGAUGGACUCGCGGCUUAUCAGCUUGUUGGUGGGGUAGUGGCUUACCAAGGCUUUGACGGGUAGCCGGCCUGAGAGGGUGACCGGCCACAUUGGGACUGAGAUACGGCCCAGACUCCUACGGGAGGCAGCAGUGGGGAAUAUUGCACAAUGGGCGGAAGCCUGAUGCAGCAACGCCGCGUGCGGGAUGACGGCCUUCGGGUUGUAAACCGCUUUCGCCUGUGACGAAGCGUGAGUGACGGUAAUGGGUAAAGAAGCACCGGCUAACUACGUG
rnacentral:rRNA from 1 species